GCUUUGAAAGGAUAAUAGCUCAUCCAUU
rnacentral:tRNA from 1 species